ensembl:lncRNA
UUGCCUGGGGGCAUCCUUUGUUCAGUCAUUAGCUGUCCUUUGCCCUCAGAGUGUUGGAUCUACUGUUUUGAUUUUUAGAGUUUUUUAAUACUGGUAGUCAGAUUUUGUUCAUUUUCAUGGUUUCUUCCUUUCUGUUAAAGUUGUCCACAUGCUUGUGGAUUUCAAUGGCUUCUCUGUGUAGUCUGACAUGAUAGUUAUUGAAGUGGUCCAGCAUUUCUGUGUUCUCAAAUAAUAUACUGUGUCCAGGCUGGUUCAUCAAGUGCUCUGCUAUGCCUGAUUUCUCUGGUUGAAUUAGUCUGCAGUGCCUUUCAUGUUCUUUGACUCUUGUUUGGGCGAUGCGUUUGAUGGUCCCUAUGUAGACUUGUCCACAGCUGCAUGGUAUCCGGUAGACUCCUUCAGAGGAGAGAGGAUCCCUCUUGUCCUUCACUGACCAUAGCAUUUGUUGGAUUUUCUUUGUGGGUCUGUAGAUAGUUUGUAGGUUGUGCUUCUUCAUCAGUUUGCCUAUGCGGUCAGUGGUUCCCUUGAUGUAUGGUAAGAACACCUUUCCUCUGAGUGGAUCUUUGUCUUUACUCUCAUAGUUUUUGGCCUUACAGCUCUUCUGAUGUCUGUGGUGGAGUAUCCAUUGGCCUGUAGAGCCCAGUUUAGGUGGUUUAGUUCACCUUGGAGGAGGUGAGGUUCACAGAUUCUUUGUGCACGGCCUGUCAGGGCUUUGAUUGUGCUUCUUUUUUGACUUGGGUGAUGGUUGGAGUUUUUAUGAAUCUUUGUGUGUAGGUUUUCUGUAAACUGUGGGGCCAGUUUCAGUUCAGUGGGAUCCUGGUGGUGGUGACCGCAAAAUUUCCUCCUUUUGCUAGAAUGGAUACUUGGUCUUCAGUGAGUUGUCUGUCAGUCAGGUUGAUGAUGGUCCGUGAUUUAUCCAGUUCUGGUUUUGGCUGUUGCUUACGGCAUUUGUCAAAUUUUUGUUUUUGUCUCUUGGUGUGGAGAUCCAUUUCUUUCUCCAUUUUUUUUGUAGGUGAGGCUGUCUAUUUUAUCCCAGUCCUGGGUAUUCCUUUUGCAUCAUAUUUGCCCAUCCCAAAUUAGCCAUUUCAGGUUCAUAGAAGGGGGCAGGUAUGCCCGGUGGUGAUUUGGUUGUGUGAAAAGAUGCAAUGAGGGCAAACUCCAGAUCUUCUGCAGUUUUCCACCCAUGUAAUACAGUUUCCAAUGAAACCAGUAACACAAUUCUUCUCUCCCUCACUUCCCUUCUCAGUUAAAACAACCCUUCUCUCCCCAUAGCCAACAGUUGCAGACAUUUUAUAGAUAAAGAAAUCCUUAAAUUUCUAUAAUUUUUAAAAUCUAUAAAAUUUCUGCAAAUUGGAAGUAGUCCAUCCAUUUUCUCAGAAUGUUUUAAAUUAACUGUUAUUCUUGCCUUGAUACUGGCUUCUUUACUCUCUUUUGCUUUUUAUCAAAAAAGAGUAAUUCUUUCCCAAACCCAAAUCAUUUUUGGCCAUCAUGUUCAAGAUUUUCCCACCACCUAACUGCAGAGAUGAAAGCCUUUCUUUCCUUCAACUGCUUCAAAUUGGCCAAUAGUAUUUUAAUGCAUGUGUUUUCUGAUGAUGUGACUUCUGAACUGCACAAGCAGGCAGUGUUUAAUCUUUUGGUCCAAUGCUCUCGACUUUGGUUCGCGGCUGGAAGAAAGAAGUAUUAACAGCUUCAGGACCAUUAUUAGUAAUAGGAUUCUCUACUGGAGAGUUGCGUGGAAGAGGUACCUAUUGCAUCGACACACACUUUCUGUUUCCAGUUCUUCUGUCUAUCACAAAUUGGAGCCUAAUGCUCCAAAAUGAUGAGGUUAGCUGCUAGGACAAGUAGCAACAGGCAACUGAACUCGGCUUAGAUUGCUACUGGAACUAGAAAGAGAAACUGAUGGAGAACAGUGAAGAUAUUACAACUACGAUUGGGCAUACCCACCUAUCAGGGAGGGAAGACUUGAUAAGGAUCUUGUCAUUGUGACUGAAUAAGAGGUGAAAUUAAUCAAAUGGAUAUCAAUUUUGGUGCCAGUCUGAUGAAUGCCAACCAUGAAGGAGCAAGUGUGGGUUACAUUUAAAUUCUCCCCCCUCUCUUUCUCUUUUACCUCCUUUCUCUAUGUGUUUUCCUCUCCCUUUUCAUUAUCAAUAGCUUAAGGAUGAGACUGCCUGAUUAAUAACUUUAAAUGAGGUAUUAGAAAAUCUGUAGGUAUUAGUAACUAUUUUAUGAAUAAUAGAAACUUUAUUAUGAGAGUAUUGUUUGUGGAACUCCUCAUAUAUUUUCUGGUUGGGUCUUUUCACUACUCCUGUGCUCUUUGUUGCAUCUUGCUAUUUUUUUGUUGAUUCUAUCUUCCUCUUCUCUAUGGUUUCCUACUUUGCUGCUUCAUCAUGGUGUAAUAUGACUUGAGAUUCUCAAAGGCAAGCUUUGGAAAGUUCUACAAAGCUGAUAGGAUUUCAGCCACAGCCCGUGGAGCAGACUGAAUGUUUUUGGCCCAAAGACCAGUUUAGUAAAUUCAAAGAAACUUAUCACCAUUACAUUGACCAUUAGGUGAUUAAUUGAAUCCAAAAACUGUUCACACAAUAGAGGUAAAGAUAUUUAUUCUUGACAUUGAUGAAAGAACCAUCCAAUUAAACCACAUAUCCUUAAGUUAUAUUUUUGCCUAUCUUCAUAGUCCAGUUUUUCCUAAUUGACUGGCUUCCCUUUUUGUCUCUUGUCUUUUCCCUUUUCAAACAUUUAUUUAACCUUUUCAUUUCCACCAAUAUAUUCUUGCUAUCCUUCUAGCCUUCUUUUUAUUGAAUACUUAACAUAAACAUACUCAUCAUACAUGAGAAAAUUAACUCUGUUCAAAUUGCCUCAGUGUAUGAUGCUAUUUCUAUACUGAGAGAUUCUUACUGAGGAAUACUGCAGAAUGCUGGGAAGUCAUGACAAUUAUUUGGCAUUCUCAUUAGGCUUGUGCAAUUUGGGUAAACAAUUAUCCAUUUCCGUGUCCCGAAUUUCUGUGGGGGGGAUCCAUUUUUUGGAAGCUUCCCAAAUUCAGGAGAACAGAAAUCUGUUUUUGAUCUGGAAAGCCAAAAGAUUCAUUUUCUAUUAGGCCCAUUAUGGGGGGACUUCCCAGGCUCCCCUUCACAUCAUUUUAGGCAUCGUUUGUACUUAUAUCCUUCUUUAAGACCCGGAUUAAAAGUAUCAGAGUUAAGAUACUACUCUUUCUGCAAUCCUUUCCCUUCUGUCUGUAGAGGAGACCAAGUUUAAUGCUUAGUUAGAGAUGUUUCUACUAGAGACAGGAGCUGCAGGCAUGGGCACCUCUCCCUGCAGCAGGCAGUUUUCCAAGGCAUUUUAAGGAGGCUUCCCCACUCCCCAAGGAAGGAAGAGCUAUCCUACCUGGGCUUCCUUUAAAAAGCCCUCUCUUUCUGCUUGAUUUUGCAGGCACUGGAGUGGUGCCUCCCCCAUCCCUUCCUCACAUUUUUCCUUCUAGCAACUGCCUCCCUCUCACACUCCACUUGUAACUGAAGGCAGCUGCUGUUCUGUUGAGACCAAAGAAAACAUGGAGGCUGAGCCCUUGCCGUUACAGCCAGCCGAACAAGCCGGACCAGCCGGAUUACCCAAAGGGAACUGGCCAAAUUAAAUCUGUGCACAAGCCUAAGUCUCACUUUAUGGCUCUUCUCUUUCCCACUGAUACUUUAAGCAUGUUGAGAAGGAGAAUCCAGAUUUUUAAAUUAUAUAAAACAUGAAGAUUGUGUAACCUGCCUUGAUACUUA